rnacentral:misc_RNA from 1 species
UCUCCGCUUGCGCGGGCAGUCUUUUUAGAGUCCCCAGCAUAACCUGUUGGCAACUAAAAAUAAGGGUUGCGCUCGUUGCGGGACUUAACCCAACAUCUCACGACACGAGCUGACGACAGCCAUGCACCACCUGUGAUCCUGCCCACAAGGGGAAACCGUGUUUCCACGGCGGUCAGGAACAUGUCAAACCCAGGUAAGGUUCUUCGCGUCGCGUCGAAUUAAACCACAUGCUCCACCGCUUGUGCGGGUCCCCGUCAAUUCCUUUGAGUUUUAGCCUUGCGGCCGUACUCCCCAGGCGGGGCACUUAAUGCGUUAGCUGCGGCGCGGAAUCCGUUGAGUGAAUCCCACACCUAGUGCCCACCGUUUACGGCGUGGACUAC